GGAUGGGGCUAGCGUUGUUCGGAAUUACUGGGCGUAAAGGGCGCGUAGGCGGCCAUUUAAGUUAGACGUGAAAGCCCUGGGCUUAACCUAGGAACUGCGUUUAAUACUGGAUGGCUAGAGAUUGGUAGAGGAAAGCGGAAUUCCUAGUGUAGAGGUGAAAUUCGUAGAUAUUAGGAAGAACACCAGAGGCGAAGGCGGCUUUCUGGACCAAUACUGACGCUGAGGCGCGAAAGCGUGGGGAGCAAACAGGAUUAGAUACCCUGGGUAGUCCACGCCGUAAACGAUGAAUGCUAAACGUCGGGAAUUUAUUUUCGGUGUUGCAGCUAACGCAUUAAGCAUUCCGCCUGGGGAGUACGGUCGCAAGAUUA
rnacentral:rRNA from 1 species